AUUGAACGCUGGCGGCAGGCUUAACACAUGCAAGUCGAGCGGGGACUUCGGUCCUAGCGGCGAACGGGUGAGGAAUGCUUGGGAAUCUGCCCAGUAGCGGGGGAUAACGUUUCGAAAGGAACGCUAAUACCGCAUACGCCCUACGGGGGAAAGGGGGGGACCUUCGGACCUCUCACUAUUGGAUGAGCCCAAGUCGGAUUAGCUAGUUGGUGGGGUAAAGGCCUACCAAGGCGACGAUCCGUAGCUGGUCUGAGAGGAUGAUCAGCCACACUGGAACUGAGACACGGUCCAGACUCCUACGGGAGGCAGCAGUGGGGAAUAUUGGACAAUGGGCGAAAGCCUGAUCCAGCCAUGCCGCGUGUGUGAAGAAGGCCUUCGGGUUGUAAAGCACUUUAAGCGAGGAGGAAUGGCUCUUGGUUAAUAACCUUGAGCAGUGACGUUACUCGCAGAAUAAGCACCGGCUAACUCUGUGCCAGCCGCCGCGGUAAUAC
rnacentral:rRNA from 1 species